rnacentral:rRNA from 1 species
AUACGUAGGUGACAAGCGUUAUCCGGAUUUACUGGGCGUAAAGGGCGUGUAGGCGGUCUUGCAAGUCAGAAGUGAAAUUCCUGAGCUCAACUCGGGCGCUGCUUCUGAAACUGCAGGACUUGAGUGCUGGAGGGGAUAGCGGAAUUCCUAGUGGAGCGGUAAAAUGCGCAGAUAUUAGGAAGAACACCGGUGGCGAAGGCGGCUAUCUGGACAGUAACUGACGCUGAGGCGCGAAAGUGUGGGGAGCAAACAGGAUUAGAUACCCUGGUAGUCCACACUGUAAACGAUGAAUGCUAGGUGUAAGAGGUAUCGACCCCUUUUGUGCCGGAGUUAACACAAUAAGCAUUCCGCCUGGGGAGUACGGCCGCAAGGUUGAAACUCAAAUGAAUUGACGGGG